rnacentral:rRNA from 1 species
UACAGAGGGUGCGAGCGUUAAUCGGAAUUACUGGGCGUAAAGCGUGCGUAGACGGUUAUUUAAGUCGGAUGUGAAAGCCCCGGGCUCAACCUGGGAAUUGCAUUCGAGACUGAAUAGCUAGGGUACGGUAGAGGGAAGUGGAAUUUCCGGUGUAGCGGUGAAAUGCGUAGAUAUCGGAAGGAACGCCAGUGGUGAAGACGACUACCUGGACCAAUACUGACACUGAGGCACGAAAGCGUGGGGAUCAAACAGG